CAGGACGAACGCUGGCGGCGUGCUUACACAUGCAAGUCGAACGGGAGAUCACAAUCAAUCUUUCGAGAGCGAAUGGUGAUACUCUAGUGGCGGACGGGUGAGUAACGCGUGAGCAACUUACCCUUUAGCCUGGGACAACAACGGGAAACCGUUGCUAAUCCCGGAUGAGCAUAUCGAGUAGCAUUACAAGAUAUGCAAAGGAGGCCUCUCUAAAGAAGCUUUCGCUAAAGGAUGGGCUCGCGUCCCAUUAGCUAGUUGGUGAGGUAACGGCUCACCAAGGCAGCGAUGGGUAGCCGGCCUGAGAGGGUGGACGGCCACACUGGGACUGAGACACGGCCCAGACUCCUACGGGAGGCAGCAGUGGGGAAUAUUGCGCAAUGGGGGAAACCCUGACGCAGCGACGCCGCGUGAGCGAUGAAGGCCUUCGGGUCGUAAAGUUCUGUCAUCGGGGAAGAAGUCUUAUGUACUAAUACUGCAUGAGGUGACGGUACCCGAGGAGGAAGCCACGGCUAACUACGUGCCAGCAGCCGCGGUAACACGUAGGUGGCGAGCGUUGUCCGGAAUUACUGGGCGUAAAGGGCGCGUAGGCGGUUAAGUAAGUCAGGAGUGAAAGCCCUAGGCUCAACCUGGGGACUGCUUUUGAAACUGCUUAACUUGAGAGCAGGAGAGGUAAGUGGAAUUCCUAGUGUAGCGGUGAAAUGCGUAGAUAUUAGGAGGAACACCAGUGGCGAAGGCGACUUACUGGCCUGACUCUGACGCUGAGGUGCGAAAGCGUGGGGAGCGAACAGGAUUAGAUACCCUGGUAGUCCACGCCGUAAACGAUGGGUACUAGGUGUUGGGGGGUAGAACCCUUCAGUGCUGCAGCAAACGCAUUAAGUACCCCGCCUGGGGAUUACGGCCGCAAGGCUAAAACUCAAAAGAAUUGACGGGGGCCCGCACAAGCGGUGGAGCAUGUGGUUUAAUUCGACGCAACGCGAAGAACCUUACCAGGGCUUGACAUCCCGUGCUAUUCAUAGAAAUAUGAUUUCCCUUUGGGACACGGAGACAGGUGGUGCAUGGUUGUCGUCAGCUCGUGUCGUGAGAUGUUGGGUUAAGUCCCGCAACGAGCGCAACCCUUAUCGUAUGUUACCAGCAUUUAAGGUGGGGACUCAUACGAGACUGCCGGUGAUAAACCGGAGGAAGGUGGGGAUGACGUCAAAUCAUCAUGCCCCUUAUGCUCUGGGCUACACACGUGCUACAAUGGCCGAUACAGAGGGCGGCGAAGCCGCGAGGUGGAGCAGAUCUCAUAAAGUCGGUCUAAGUUCGGAUUGCAGGCUGCAACUCGCCUGCAUGAAGUCGGAAUCGCUAGUAAUCGCAGGUCAGCAUACUGCGGUGAUACGUUCCCGGGCAUUGUACACACCGCCCGUCACACCACGAAAGUUGGCAACACCCGAAGCCG
rnacentral:rRNA from 1 species